GUUAGAGCGCCUCGCAAUCUCAAGGUCGUGGAUUCCAUUCCCGUCGGUGCCAACUCGCAUUUUUCUGGCCUGAUGAAUUAGUUAUAAACUCUUGACUCAACUUUCGAAUGGAACCGAAUAAAACAUGUUUGCUCAAAAGUCUUAAAUUUAAUUAAAACGGAUAUCAAAGCGGGUACGAAGAAAUGGUAGAUAACCAGGAACGGAGGGAGGAUCUUUCUAAGACGGAUUUGCCAUAAAUGCUUUACUUUUUUACUUAUGUGGAUAUAAAACGAAACUCAUUAUUUCUUUUAACUUGAUUUAUAUUCUUAUAAUAUUGUUAUAUAUACUUAUAUAUUUUAGCCAAGACAUCACACUACCCCCCCUCCCCCGAAAUGGUGGUCAAGUUAUUAACUCCCAUCAAAGAACUAACAAUAAAAUAGAUUAUGCAAACAUGAAGAUUUGAGAACAUGAUAGUAAACAACUCCUUUUUUUUUACUUAAAAUGCUUCGAAAAAGCGAAAGGGCGGUUCUUGAGCUAUAGAAAAUCCUAAUUCUAAUAAGUACCCAGCGCUCAACCCGUAGAUGACGUCGAAGUUGCUACCAUUGAUAAUAUGAAUAAAAGCACUACUAAUAUUAAUAACUAUAAUAAGCCAUCUCCAGCGACAAUACUAGAAACAUGUUCCCAGAAGUAAACAUCUCUCCAAAAGUAGUUUCCCUUUUAUUAAAUCGUCAACAACUUCAUCUAAGGGAGUACCCGAAAUGGCAAAAAAUUUUCCUCUCAAGUUCUGACGACUUUCG